UCUGGUGACAAUGGCAAAGAGGUCACACCUGUUCCCAUGCCGAACACAGAAGUUAAGCUCUUUAGCGCCGAUGGUAGUCGGACUUACGU
rnacentral:rRNA from 1 species